rnacentral:rRNA from 1 species
AUUGAACGCUGGCGGCAGGCCUAACACAUGCAAGUCGAACGAGUGGCGGACGGGUGAGCAACGUCUGGGAAACUGCCUGAUGGCGGGGGAUACCUACUGGAAACGGUAGCUACUACCCCACACCAUCGGAGGAGCCCAGAUGGGAUUAGCUUGUUGGUGGGGUAACGGCUCACCAAGGCGACGAUCCCGAGCUGGGCUGAGAGGAUGACCAGGCACACGGGAAAUGAGACGCGGUCCAGACUCCUACGGGAGGCAGAAGUGGGGAAUAUUGCACAAUGGGCGCAAGCCUGAUGCAGCCAUGCCGGGUGUAUGGAGAAGGCCUUCGGGUUGUAAAGUACUUUAAGCGGGGAGGCGGUACCCGCAGAAGAAACACCGGCUAACUACGUGCCAGCAGCCGCGGUAAUAC